AUUGAACGCUGGCGGAAUGCUUUACACAUGCAAGUCGAACGGUAGAGGGGGCAACCCCUCGAGAGUGGCGAACGGGUGAGUAAUAUAUCGGAACGUGCCCAGUCGUGGGGGAUAACGUAGCGAAAGUUACGCUAAUACCGCAUACGAUCUAGGGAUGAAAGCGGGGGAUCGCAAGACCUCGCGCGAUUGGAGCGGCCGAUAUCAGAUUAGGUAGUUGGUGGGGUAAAGGCUCACCAAGCCAACGAUCUGUAGCUGGCCUGAGAGGACGACCAGCCACACUGGAACUGAGACACGGUCCAGACUCCUACGGGAGGCAGCAGUGGGGAAUUUUGGACAAUGGACGCAAGUCUGAUCCAGCCAUUCCGCGUGCAGGAUGAAGGCCCUCGGGUUGUAAACUGCUUUUGUACGGAACGAAAAGGUCUCUCUUAAUACGGGGGACUCAUGACGGUACCGUAAGAAUAAGCACCGGCUAACUACGUGCCAGCCGCCGCCGUAAGAC
rnacentral:rRNA from 1 species